rnacentral:rRNA from 1 species
AACGUAGGUGGCGAGCGUUAUCCGGAUUUACUGGGCGUAAAGCGCGUGUAGGCGGCCCGGUAAGUCCGCUGUGAAAGUCGGGGGGCUCAACCCUCGAAUGCCGGUGGAUACUGUCGGGCUAGAGUACGGAAGAGGCGAGUGGAAUUCCUGGUGUAGCGGUGAAAUGCGCAGAUAUCAGGAGGAACACCAAUUGCGAAGGCAGCUCGCUGGGACGUUACUGACGCUGAGACGCGAAAGCGUGGGGAGCAAACAGG